rnacentral:rRNA from 1 species
UACAGAGGGUGCGAGCGUUAAUCGGAAUUACUGGGCGUAAAGCGUGCGUAGACGGUUAUUUAAGUCGGAUGUGAAAGCCCCGGGCUCAACCUGGGAAUUGCAUUCGAGACUGAAUAGCUAGGGUACGGUAGAGGGAAGUGGAAUUUCCGGUGUAGCGGUGAAAUGCGUAGAUAUCGGAAGGAACAUCAGUGGCGAAGGCGACUUCCUGGACCAAUACUGACGCUCAGGUGCGAAAGCGUGGGGAGCAAACAGG